rnacentral:misc_RNA from 1 species
CCGAGUUGACAAACUCCCAACCCUGUGAACAGUACUGCAACUUGUUGCCUCGGCGGAGCAGCCUCCUCCGGUAACGGGACGGCCCGCCAGAGGACCCCUAAACUCUGUUUCUAUAUGGAAUCUUCUGAGUAAGCCUAUAAAUAAGUCA